rnacentral:lncRNA from 1 species
AUGGUGGUACAUUGUUGCACUACGCCGUUAGGAGAAAAUACACGCGACUUGUGGCGAUCCUGGUGGGAAGCGGGUGCCAACUUGGAAGCCAGGAGAGUGGACGGCAAAACACCUCUCCUCGUCGCAAUCGACACGCAUGCCUUCACCGUAUCGCAGGACAUUUUGACACGUUUGUUGGAAAGCGGGGCAAAUGUCAACGCGGAAGAUGCAAGGGGAGCCACGCCGUUCCUUAUGGCUCUCAAACGGCGAGGAAGCGCCGACCGUAUUCGUAUAUUGAUCGACAAUGGGGCAGAUGUCAAUUCGAAUACGCAGUUCGGUAGUGCCUUAAGACUCGCCGCCGGAGCAGGAUCUGACUGCCUGUCGAUGCUCCUCAACAAGGGGGGUUUGGACAUCGAUGAACAGCGAGGAAUAUUCAAAGAGGUCUUGAUGUGUUCGACCGCUGACCAGCGCUCGGUGCGGAAACUCUUCGAUUACGGGUUCAAACUUUUGCCGGAAGAUGCGAAGAGUAUCGAGAUUCUCGACGGAGUUCUGAAGUUGGGAGACCGACACAUUUUCGAGGAUCUGCUCAGGUGGGGUGCCGUCGUGCACCUGAAACCGCGCCCGAAUCGCACGGUGCCGGAUGCUGCACCUGAGGACGUCAUGAAGGAACUUCUCAUUCUAGCUCUCUCUCGAGGAGAUAAUAAAACCAUCAAAUACCUUUUCGAAAUCGACGAUGUUCGUGACGCUGAAUUCUUCAACGAUAUCCUUCAAAGGACGAUCCAAACAUUCAACACCGCAUGCUUUGAAACCGUCCUCAAAGUUGGUAAUCCGGGACUCUCGUUUCUUUUUGUUGAAAGCGUGUUGGAUGAACUUGAACCGGUGGAAUCAGAGGCCGUUGAUAUGGAUUAUGUCGAUUACGAUCAUUUUAUCGAUGUGAAUUUCGAGGCUGAUUACGAGAAUAGCUAUCAGAAUGAUCAAAGACACGAAAUGAAAAAAAAACUGUCAAGUCACAUUGUUAUGUUGGCGAGUGCUGACUUGGUAGUGAACAAAGAUAUUAUUGUGAGUGGUGUGCCGUUGCGGAAAGACCAACUUCCCGAAUGGGUCCUGGAAUUGGUACCAUCAACUUUCCUGGAAGAAUGUGUCAAUGAGGUCACGCUCUUGAAGACAGAAACGGUUGGAGACUCAUCAAUCACUUACUACGAUAUUUUAAACGCUACCAUUCCCCAAAUGAUACGGUUUUUGAGGAGCAAUUCAAUUCGAUUGUACAUUGAAGUCUAGAAGCUACUUGGCGAGGUUCCCAUUGUACUCUGCUAUUAUUGAUCAUAGGUUCCGGAAAUGUGAUUAUAAAGUCACACUAAUUGAAAAAGCGAGUCAAAUGUUCGGUUACCUGAGCGAGUUUACGAAGAAGAUACCUUUCGAAAUCCGGGAAAAGAUCUUGCAACUGUUGUGCAACCACGAGUUGCUGAUGACAAUCGAUGUCUGCACUAUCGCAGCAGGUGAACUGCAAGCGUCUCAACCUCGCAGUAGACUUCAUGAUUAGUCAAAAAGUAAUACGGCAGAGGACCUUGUAUGUUACUAAGAGGAUAAGUUACUUCUAUAAAGUUCCCGGGGUAUUAAUGUCCGUAUCACGAAGUAUUUUUUGCGAUCUUCAUCGUAAGGCAAAUCGUACAAUUUUUGUUAAAGCUAUUCGUCAAGCUCAAAUGACGUGGUCGUAGUGGAGUGCGAUAUAUCGCAUCGAUUAGGUCAAAAAUCUCGGCAGAUUUGGAAUUUUUAGCAAAACAAAGGACGAUAGCCCCUGCGCAUGCGCCUAAAAAAUCAUUCUAAACCCAAAUUUCAGAGAAAUGAAAGCAGAAUAGUGUUUAGAAAAAAACCUCGCAUUCGAUACAGAAAUCGAUGGCUGAAUCGAAUGC